UACGAAGGGGGCUAGCGUUGCUCGGAAUCACUGGGCGUAAAGCGCACGUAGGCGGGUCUUUAAGUCAGGGGUGAAAUCCCGGAGCUCAACUCCGGAACUGCCUUUGAUACUGAGGAUCUUGAGUUCGAGAGAGGUGAGUGGAACUGCGAGUGUAGAGGUGAAAUUCGUAGAUAUUCGCAAGAACACCAGUGGCGAAGGCGGCUCACUGGCUCGAUACUGACGCUGAGGUGCGAAGCGUGGGGAGCAAACAGG
rnacentral:rRNA from 1 species